UACGAGGGGGGCUAGCGUUGUUCGGAAUCACUGGGCGUAAAGCGCGCGUAGGCGGUGCGAUAAGUCAGAGGUGAAAGCCCGGGGCUCAACCCCGGAAUUGCCUUUGAAACUAUCGCGCUGGAGUCUCGUAGGGGAUAGCGGAAUUCCUAGUGUAGAGGUGAAAUUCGUAGAUAUUAGGAGGAACACCGGUGGCGAAGGCGGCUAUCUGGACGAGUACUGACGCUGAGGCGCGAAAGCGUGGGGAUCAAACAGG
rnacentral:rRNA from 1 species